UUCAUUGCGAUGAUGAGGAGGAGUACUUCAUACUUUUCGUUAGAGAGGAAAGUCCAUAGGCUGGAAGGCUUUCUCGAAAAAAGGUGAAGGAAGGUAGCCUUUGAUGCAACUUUAUUGAACGAGAGUAGAUAAAGUCGGUUGAGCCGUUAUCUCAGGAAUUAAGUGUAUAAGUAUGUAACUUAUAAACGAAGGUGGUACCGCGGAAAACAUCCUUUUCGUCCUUUAA
rnacentral:ncRNA from 1 species